UUACUUACCUGGAUGAGGUUAAUGGACAAUCAUAAAGGCCCAUGGCCUAGAUUUCUGGCCUCCAUUGCACUUAGGCCUUUUUUAUUUUUUAAUUGUACAAAUUUAACCUAUGUUUUUAAUUAAGCAAUAGUGCUGUC
rnacentral:snRNA from 1 species